rnacentral:rRNA from 1 species
ACAGCAGCAGCCACGGUAAUACGUAGGUGGCGAGCGUUGUCCGGAAUUAUUGGGCGUAAAGGGAGCGCAGGCGGACAUAUAAGUCCAUCUUAAAAGUGCGGGGCUCAACCCCGUGAGGGGAUGGAAACUGUAUGCCUUGAGUGCAGGAGAGGAAAGCGGAAUUCCCAGUGUAGCGGUGAAAUGCGUAGAUAUUGGGAGGAACACCAGUGGCGAGGGCGGCUUUCUGGACUGUAACUGACGCUGAGGCUCGAAAGCCAGGGGAGCGAACGGGAUUAGAUACCCGUGUAGUCCCUGUCUCUUAUACA